GCCGGGCAUGGUGGCGGUGCCUGUAGUCCCAGCUACCUGGGAGGCUGAGGCUGGAGGAUCACUUGAGCCCAGGAGUUCUGGGCUUUAGUGCGCAGUGCCAGGUGUCCGCCCUAAGUUCGGCAUCAAUAUGGUGACCUCUCGGGAGUGGGGGACCACCAGCUUGCCUAAGGAGGGGUGAACCAGCCCAGGUUAGAAAUGGAGCAGGUCAGCACCGGGCGCGGUGGCUCAAGCCUGUAAUCCCAGCACUUUGGGAGGCCGAGGCUACU
rnacentral:SRP_RNA from 1 species